rnacentral:tRNA from 1 species
GGGCCCGUAGCUCAGUUGGAUAGAGCACCGACCUCCUAAGUCGGGUGUCGGGGGUUCAAGUCCCUCCGGGCCCG